UACGGGGGGGGCAAGCGUUGUUCGGAAUUACUGGGCGUAAAGGGCUCGUAGGCGGCCAACUAAGUCACACGUGAAAUCCCUCGGCUCAACCGGGGAACUGCGUGUGAGACUGGAUGGCUUGAGUUUGGGAGAGGAAUGCGGAAUUCCAGGUGUAGCGGUGAAAUGCGUAGAUAUCUGGAGGAACACCGGUGGCGAAGGCGGCAUCCUGGACCGACACUGACGCUGAGGAGCGAAAGCCAGGGGAGCAAACGGG
rnacentral:rRNA from 1 species